rfam:Bosea sp. Root381 contig_31, whole genome shotgun sequence.
CCGAUCGCCUUUUGAGGGAUCGGCCGGUCAAGCCGACAUCGGUGAGACCUCGGAAUGACCGAUUUGUGCCCAUGUUGCUCAAUGGAGGAUGUGGUUAUGAGAA